rnacentral:misc_RNA from 1 species
AGCAGCCGCGGUAAUUCCAGCUCCAAUAGCGUAUAUUAAAGUUGUUGCAGUUAAAAAGCUCGUAGUUGAAUUUCGAGACCGGCUUAUUGGUCGUGCUUUUGUACGUACUGGUAUAAUCGGUUUCUCCUUUCUGACGAACUAUAAUGCCAUUAAUUUGGUGUUAUAGGGAAUCAGGACUGUUACUUUGAAAAAAUUAGAGUGUUUAAAGCAGGCUCACGCUUGAAUACAUUAGCAUGGAAUAACGGAAUAGGACGUUUGAUUCUAUUUUGUUGGUUUCUAGGAUCGACGUAAUGAUUAAUAGGGAUAGUUGGGGGCAUUAGUAUUCAAUUGUCAGAGGUGAAAUUCUUGGAUUUAUUGAAGACUAACUACUGCGAAAGCAUUUGCCAAGGAUGUUUUCAUUAAUCAAGAACGAAAGUUAGGGGAUCGAAGACGAUCAGAUACCGUCGUAGUCUUAACCAUAAACUAUGCCGACUAGGGAUCGGAUGAUGUUAAAUUUUUUUAAUGACUCAUUCGGCGCCUU